rnacentral:lncRNA from 1 species
AAAGAACAUGUGCUAAACAUCAUGUCGGGAAGCUUAGCGCAUUAAGAGGAACAGCGUGCUGGCUACGGACAAAUGGAAAUAGUUUGCAAUUCGUUAUAGGGAAUGGGGAGGGCCAUCCGGAAACGCAUCAGUUUAGAGCUUUCACAUCUUCUUGUCACUAUCCUGUGGAUCAGAUAUGGUAUACAUCACAGCAUAGCACCCUGUUAAUAUAUACCGACCUGCCCUUCCCCAUUCGCAUUUAUGAAGCUGGGCAGAGAAGGAAGCGAAGGACUGGCAAGUCCCACUGCAUCACACUUCCUCUUAAAGGAACAGAGGAAGAAGUUUGGAUUACAGUAUAAAAGUCAGGUCCCAAGGUGCUGCCUGUAUGAGGCAAUGGCUGUUGGGCAUGGUGAGUGCACCUGGAAACACUUCCCCCUCCCGAGAGCCAGAUUAUGAGCUUCCAUGAAACAGCAAAUCCUCUUCUGAUCCAGCUGAAAAGAGGUUCGCGGGUGCCAAGUGGACUUCACAGGAAGGUUGCGAACUGGCAGUCUGGAGUUCAAACGUAACUUACGGGCCAGCUCUCAGGAAUGGGAGGAACUUCUGGUUCGCUCACCCGCUCUGGCAGGAUUGUACCUGUUUCUAAGGCCAAGAAGCUUUAAGACUGGUCAGCGCCUAGAUAAGAAGCAUCCCAAGAACUAUGUAGAAAUUGUGUUCCAUGAUGGAAUAAAAGUGGG